AUGGUUAAAUUUUUUGCAUUACCUGUAACCCAAGUUAUGACAAUUCAAAACCUUCUGACACUUCAGUUGGCUUCACUUGUUCGUGACCGAGAGGAUGCUGCUGGGGAAUCUCUGCUGCAGCGCUGGACUUCACUGGAAGGGCUUGCUGGGAACGUCGAAACUUUCCGAACAUGCACGACUUUCUCUUCUCAACGUUCAAGUCCACCCACUCAUCGAGUGGGAGCCUCAUAACACAGGUACAGAGAUAUGAAGCUUUUGAUAGAGAACAUGCACUGCUGGUGGCAAAGUGAUGGACUGGACUGGACUAAGAUCCUGCACUAAGGAUUCCUCCCUGCCAUUCUCAGAAAUAAUUUGAAGUUAUCAGCACAGCCUCUGCUUACCGAGCAACAGGAAGACUUCAUUUUUUACUUCUGUGAUCUCCUUCAUAAGUUUGUUUAUUUGUUUGUUUUAAUAAUAAAAUAAUGCAUACAAAAUCUAGAAUCUUGGUG
rnacentral:lncRNA from 1 species